CAAAAAAAAAAAAACCC
rnacentral:rRNA from 1 species